rnacentral:ncRNA from 1 species
GCGUAAACAGUGAAAAAGAUGAGUACCUAGAAGACUGUCUAUGUAGAGAAAAAGCGGUUGGUGAAAGCUUUUAGAAACAAGCUAGGGAAGCUACUUUGGAGUUUAAUCGUACAUCUACGAUACAGAUAAUUAAGGUGCAUAGAGAAAUCUAUGAAUCAGGAUGGUACCGCGUAUUCACGUUCCUGUU